rnacentral:rRNA from 1 species
CCUACGGGUGGCAGCAGUGAGGAAUAUUGGUCAAUGGGCGGGAGCCUGAACCAGCCAAGUCGCGUGAGGGACGACGGUCCUAUGGAUUGUAAACCUCUUUUGUCGGGGAACAAAGGCGCCCACGGGUGGGCGGAUGAGUGUACCCGAAGAAAAAGCAUCGGCUAACUCCGUGCCAGCAGCCGCGGUAAUCCGGAGGAUGGGAGCGUUAUCCGGGUUUAUUGGGUUUAAGGGGUGCGUAGGCGGACAGGCAAGGCAGCGGUAAAAAUGCGGUGCUCAACGCCGUACAGCCGUUGAAACUGGCAGACUUGAGUUGGCGAGAAGUACGCGGAAUGCGCGGUGUAGCGGUGAAAUGCAUAGAUAUCGCGCAGAACUCCGAUUGCGAAGGCAGCGUACCGGCGCCAGACUGACGCUGAGGCACGAAAGCGUGGGGAUCGAACAGGAUUAGAUACCCGAGUAGUC